AAGGAGCACCACGAAAAGCACUCCAAUUGGUGGGGUGCGAGCCGUGAGGGGUUCUCGUCUGUAGUGGACGGGAACCGGGUGCACAACAGCAAAUGAUUGCCAGACACACUAUUGGGCCCUGAGACAACACUCGGUCGAUCCGUGUGGAGUCCCUCCAUCUUGGUGGUGGGGUGUGGUGUUUGAGUAUUGGAUAGUGGUUGCGAGCAUCUAGAUGAGCGCAUAGUCCUUUGUGGCUGACGCGUUCAUCGAAAUGUGUAAUUUCUUCUUUGGUUUUUGUGUGUAAGUAAGUGUUUAAGGGCGCAUGGUGGAUGCCUUGGCAUCGAGAGCCGAUGAAGGACGUGGGAGGCU
rnacentral:misc_RNA from 1 species